rnacentral:rRNA from 1 species
AUACGGAGGAUCCGAGCGUUAUCCGGAUUUAUUGGGUUUAAAGGGUGCGCAGGCGGCCAUUUAAGUCAGCGGUUAAAUCGUGGGGCUCAACCCCAUUCUGCCGUUGAUACUGGGUGGCUUGAUUGCGGUCGAGGUUGGCGGAAUUCGUUGUGUAGCGGUGAAAUGCAUAGAUAUGACGAAGAACACCGAUUGCGUAGGCAGCUGACCAGACCGCAAAUGACGCUCAUGCACGAAAGUGCGGGGAUCGAACAGGAUUAGAUACCCUGGUAGUCCGCACAGUAAACGAUGAAUACUUGUUUUCGGCGAUAUAAUGUCGGAGGCAAAGCGAAAGAGAUAAGUAUUCCACCUGGGGAGUACGCCGGCAACGGUGAAACUCAAAGGAAUUGACGGG